UUCCAGCAUUAUUGUUUUUCAUUCCUACUAUUACUUUUCUCCUCUCAGGAUAAAAUAAAAUAACAAUGAUGCUGCUCUUGGUCCCCCUCUUCCUCUUGGCCCUGCUCCCAGGUGUUUUCUCCCAAGUCACAUUGAAGGAAUCUGAACCAGGAACAGUGAGACCAGGAGAGACCCUCGAGCUGACCUGUACGGUCACUGGGCGCUCUGUGACAAGCAGCUACUGGUGGCACUGGGUACGACAGAGCCCUGGGAAAGGGCUCGAAUGGAUGGGAGGCUGGACUGCAAGAUCGUACUACGCUGCAUCAUUCCAAAACCGAAUCACCAUCUCUGUGGAUUCUUCCCAAACCAAGUACUUUCUGAGACUGAGCACUGUGACAGCUGCAGACACAGCCAUGUAUUACUGUGCAACAGGCACAGUGGGACAGACUGAAGCAGAGGCCUGUACAAAACGGAGGAAGUGUUUCCUUCUGAUACUUCUUGAGUAA